GACGAACGCUGGCGGCGUGCUUAACACAUGCAAGUCGAGCGGAAAGGCCCUUCGGGGUCCUCGAGCGGCGAACGGGUGAGUAACACGUGAGUAACCUGCCCCAGACUUUGGGAUAACCCUCGGAAACGGGGGCUAAUACCGGAUACGACACAGCUUCGCAUGGGGUCUGUGUGGAAAGUUUUUCGGUUUGGGAUGGGCUCGCGGCCUAUCAGCUUGUUGGUGGGGUGAUGGCCUACCAAGGCGACGACGGGUAGCCGGCCUGAGAGGGCGACCGGCCACACUGGGACUGAGACACGGCCCAGACUCCUACGGGAGGCAGCAGUGGGGAAUAUUGCACAAUGGGCGGAAGCCUGAUGCAGCGACGCCGCGUGAGGGAUGACGGCCUUCGGGUUGUAAACCUCUUUCAGCAGGGACGAAGCGUAAGUGACGGUACCGGCAGAAGAAGCGCCGGCCAACUACGU
rnacentral:rRNA from 1 species